GAUCCAGCAACGCCGCGUGAGGGAUGACGGCCUUCGGGUUGUAACCUCUUCAGCAGGGACGAAGCGCAAGGGACGGUACCUGCAGAAGAAGCACCGGCCAACUACGUGCCAGCAGCCGCGGUAAUACGUAGGGUGCAAGCGUUGUCCGGAAUUAUUGGGCGUAAAGGGCUCGUAGGCGGUCCAUCGCGUCGGGAGUGAAAAGCUGGGGCUUAACCCCAGUCCUGCUUCCGAUACGGGUGGACUAGAGGUAGGUAGGGGAGAUCGGAAUUCCUGGUGUAGCGGUGAAAUGCGCAGAUAUCAGGAGGAACACCGGUGGCGAAGGCGGAUCUCUGGGCCUUACCUGACGCUGAGGAGCGAAAGCAUGGGGAGCAAACAGGAUUAGAUACCCUGGUAGUCCAUGCCGUAAACGUUGGGCGCUAGGUGUGAGGGACAUUCCACGUCCUUUGUGCCGCAGCUAACGCAUUAAGCGCCCCGCCUGGGGAGUACGGCCGCAAGGCUA
rnacentral:rRNA from 1 species